AGAUCAAAUUGUCGGUCGUGCCUCGGUACGUACUGGCGUUAUUGGUUCCUCCCUUCUGAAGAACCGCGAUGUCAUUAAUUUGGUGUCGCGGGGAAUCAGGACUGUUACUUUGAAAAAUUAGAGUGUUUAAAGCAGGCUCGCGCUUGAAUACAUUAGCAUGGAAUAAUGAAAUAGGACGUUUGAUUCUAUUUUGUUGGUUUCUAGGAUCGACGUAAUGAUUAAUAG
rnacentral:rRNA from 1 species